AGUACGUUUGCUCCUGGCUCAGGAGACGCUGGCGGCGUGCUUAACACAUGCAAGUCGAACGGAAAGGCCCUGCUUUUGUGGGGUGCUCGAGUGGCGAACGGGUGAGUAACACGUGAGUAACCUGCCCUUGACUUUGGGAUAACUUCAGGAAACUGGGGCUAAUACCGGAUAGGAGCUCCUGCUGCAUGGUGGGGGUUGGAAAGUUUCGGCGGUUGGGGAUGGACUCGCGGCUUAUCAGCUUGUUGGUGGGGUAGUGGCUUACCAAGGCUUUGACGGGUAGCCGGCCUGAGAGGGUGACCGGCCACAUUGGGACUGAGAUACGGCCCAGACUCCUACGGGAGGCAGCAGUGGGGAAUUUUCCGCAAUGGGCGAAAGCCUGACGGAGCAAUGCCGCGUGGAGGUGGAAGGCCUACGGGUCGUCAACUUCUUUUCUCGGAGAAGAAACAAUGACGGUAUCUGAGGAAUAAGCAUCGGCUAACUCUGUG
rnacentral:rRNA from 1 species